rnacentral:rRNA from 1 species
AUUGAACGCUGGCGGCAGGCCUAACACAUGCAAGUCGAGCGGAUGAAGGGAGCUUGCUCCUGGAUUCAGCGGCGGACGGGUGAGUAAUGCCUAGGAAUCUGCCUGGUAGUGGGGGAUAACGUCCGGAAACGGGCGCUAAUACCGCAUACGUCCUGAGGGAGAAAGUGGGGGAUCUUCGGACCUCACGCUAUCAGAUGAGCCUAGGUCGGAUUAGCUAGUUGGUGGGGUAAAGGCCUACCAAGGCGACGAUCCGUAACUGGUCUGAGAGGAUGAUCAGUCACACUGGAACUGAGACACGGUCCAGACUCCUACGGGAGGCAGCAGUGGGGAAUAUUGGACGAAGGGCGAAAGCCUGAUCCAGCCAUGCCGCGUGUGUGAAGAAGGUCUUCGGAUUGUAAAGCACUUUAAGUUGGGAGGAAGGGAAGUAAGUUAAUACCUUGCUGUUUUGACGUUACCAACAGAAUAAGCACCGGCUAACUUCGUG